GACAGCAGUCGCCGCGGGAAUACAGAGGGUGCGAGCGUUAAUCGGAUUUACUGGGCGUAAAGCGUGCGUAGGCGGCUUUUUAAGUCGGAUGUGAAAUCCCUGAGCUUAACUUAGGAAUUGCAUUCGAUACUGGGAAGCUAGAGUAUGGGAGAGGAUGGUAGAAUUCCAGGUGUAGCGGUGAAAUGCGUAGAGAUCUGGAGGAAUACCGAUGGCGAAGGCAGCCAUCUGGCCUAAUACUGACGCUGAGGUACGAAAGCAUGGGGAGCAAACAGGAUUAGAUACCCGCGUAGUCCCUGUCUCUUAUAC
rnacentral:rRNA from 1 species